rnacentral:tRNA from 1 species
ACCCUGGUGGUCGAAUUGGUACGACUCCUGCCCGGUAUGUAGAAGGCUCCAGGUUCGAACCCUGGCUGGGGUG